ensembl:lncRNA
CAACCCUCCGAUUUUUCCGUGCUGUCGUAGUUCACUGAGACUGGGUUUGUCUCCUCCUGGUCUCAAAUCGUAGAUUUGCGAGUCAACAACAUCCGACAAAUUCACAACUGCGCAGUUCUUAAAGGUCAGUUUUGCUACUGAAAAAUGUAACGCCGUUUUUUGGCGAUCCGCCUUUUUGUGAUGAUUAAUAUUUUUGUUAUACAAAUAUAUUUAAAAGUGAGAGAGAGGGCGAGAGAAGAAUUAAGCCCACGUUAAGUACCCCGAGAUCGCACCAAUCCCAUAAUCGCAAACUUCAAAAAGAAAAGGCGCGCACUCACUCGCAUUUCAGGAAGUGGCCACCCGGUGCGCGCGUUUACAAGCCUGUCAGCGCGAUUAACAGAUUUUUUUUAUUGGGUUGCCAUUAUCCCACCGCUUGGAUCCUCGAACUUUGAGCCAACCACAUAAACCCACCGUCUGACAUCCCCGCUGUUCCUCCCUGAGAGCCCGGGCCCCACGUCCCAUCAAGUCGGAGAGCAGCAGCGCUACCGAUCCAGACAGUGAAUAUCCUGGCCGUGGACCUAUUGGAUUGAUUUUAAUGGCUGUUCUCUUUCUGAUUGGGAUUGGAGCACUGUGAUCUUCUGAGACUUUGGAUCUUCAACAUUUAUCCCUCAGCAUGAAACAUCACGCUGAAACAUCAUUUUUUUUUUUUUACUCAUAGAUACUUACUUUCUGUCUUAAAAUGUUUUUAACUGUAUUGGCACAGCAUAAUGGCCAAAUAGGAUGUGUUUUAUUGCAUAUGCUUAAGCCCAAAGAAGUCGCCUUUUUUUUAGAAAAACAAUUUCCAUAAUAACUGGUUAUUUUUCUGUAAAUCACCUUCAUGCUUAUUUGGCUUAUCAGACUUCAGCUUUACUUGACAGCAAAUAAUUAUGUUUGAAACGCAUAUACAUAUCUGGCCUUAAUUAUAAACACAUCUGCAUAUCAAGCUGCAUAUGGUUCAUGUUCUUUUUCAUAACAGACACUGGAACAGAAUAUAAUGUGCUCAG